GACGAACGCUGGCGGCGUGCUUAACACAUGCAAGUCGAGCGGAAAGGCCCUUCGGGGUACUCGAGCGGCGAACGGGUGAGUAACACGUGAGUAACCUGCCCUCAGCUUUGGGAUAACCCUCGGAAACGGGGCUAAUACCGGAUAUUACUUCUGCCUGCAUGGGUGGGAGUGGAAAGAUUUUCGGCUGAGGUUGGACUCGCGGCCUAUCAGCUUGUUGGUGGGGUGAUGGCCUACCAAGGCGACGACGGGUAGCCGGCCUGAGAGGGCGACCGGCCACACUGGGACUGAGACACGGCCCAGACUCCUACGGGAGGCAGCAGUGGGAAUAUUGCACAAUGGGCGGAAGCCUGAUGCAGCGACGCCGCGUGAGGGAUGACGGCC
rnacentral:rRNA from 1 species